GUCGAGCGGCAGCGAGCAUAAACAGAACCUUCGGGGUGACACUUUAUACGGCGGCGCAGCGGCGGACGGGUGAGUAAUGCCUGGGAAAUUGCCCUGAUGUGGGGGAUAACCAUUGGAAACGAUGGCUAAUACCGCAUGAUAGCUUCGGCUCAAAGAGGGGGACCUUCGGGCCUCUCGCGUCAGGAUAUGCCCAGGUGGGAUUAGCUAGUUGGUGAGGUAAGGGCUCACCAAGGCAACGAUCCCUAGCUGGUCUGAGAGGAUGAUCAGCCACACUGGGACUGAGACACGGCCCAGACUCCUACGGGAGGCAGCAGUGGGGAAUAUUGCACAAUGGGCGCAAGCCUGAUGCAGCCAUGCCGCGUGUGUGAAGAAGGCCUUCGGGUUGUAAAGCACUUUCAGCAGUGAGGAAGGCAAUGUAUUUAAUAGAUGCAUUGUUUGACGUUAGCUGCAGAAGAAGCACCGGCUAACUCCGUGCCAGCAGCCGCGGUAAUACGGAGGGUGCGAGCGUUAAUCGGAAUUACUGGGCGUAAAGCGCAUGCAGGUGGUUUGUUAAGUCAGAUGUGAAAGCCCGGGGCUCAACCUCGGAAUAGCAUUUGAAACUGGCAGGCUAGAGUACUGUAGAGGGGGGUAGAAUUUCAGGUGUAGCGGUGAAAUGCGUAGAGAUCUGAGGGAAUACCGGGUGGCGAAGGCGGCCCCCCUGUACAGAUACUGACACUCAUA
rnacentral:rRNA from 1 species